AACGCGAAGAACCUUACCUGGUCUUGACAUCCACAGAAUCUUGUAGAGAUACGAGGGUGCCUUCGGGAACUGUGAGACAGGUGCUGCAUGGCUGUCGUCAGCUCGUGUUGUGAAAUGUUGGGUUAAGUCCCGCAACGAGCGCAACCCUUAUCCUUUGUUGCCAGCGGUCCGGCCGGGAACUCAAAGGAGACUGCCAGUGAUAAACUGGAGGAAGGUGGGGAUGACGUCAAGUCAUCAUGGCCCUUACGACCAGGGCUACACACGUGCUACAAUGGCGCAUACAAAGAGAAGCGACCUCGCGAGAGCAAGCGGACCUCAUAAAGUGCGUCGUAGUCCGGAUUGGAGUCUGCAACUCGACUCCAUGAAGUCGGAAUCGCUAGUAAUCGUGGAUCAGAAUGCCACGGUGAAUACGUUCCCGGGUCUUGUACACACGC
rnacentral:rRNA from 1 species